rnacentral:rRNA from 1 species
UAGGGAAUCUUCCGCAAUGGGCGAAAGCCUGACGGAGCAACGCCGCGUGAGUGAUGAAGGUCUUCGGAUCGUAAAACUCUGUUAUAGGGAAAAACAAAUGUGUAAGUAACUAUGGACGUUUUGACGGUAACUAAACAGAAAGCCACGGGUAACUACGGGCCAGCAGCCGCGGUAAUACGUAGGUGGCAAGCGUUAUCCGGAAUUAUUGGGCGUAAAGCGCGCGUAGGCGGUUUUUUAAGUCUGAUGUGAAAGCCCACGGCUCAACCGUGGAGGGUCAUUGGAAACUGGAAAACUUGAGUGCAGAAGAGGAAAGUGGAAUUCCAUGUGUAGCAGUGAAAUGCGCAGAGAUAUGGAGGAACACCAGUGGCGAAGGCGACUUUCUGGUCUGUAACUGACGCUGAUGUGCGAAAGCGUGGGGAUCAAACAGG